rnacentral:rRNA from 1 species
AUCGAACGCUGGCGGCAGGCCUAACACAUGCAAGUCGAACGGUAACAGGAAGAAGCUUGCUUCUUUGCUGACGAGUGGCGGACGGGUGAGUAAUGUCUGGGAAACUGCCUGAUGGAGGGGGAUAACUACUGGAAACGUAGCUAAUACCGCAUAACGUCGCAAGACCAAAGAGGGGGACCUUCGGGCCUCUUGCCAUCGGAUGUGCCCAGAUGGGAUUAGCUAGUAGGUGGGGUAACGGCUCACCUAGGCGACGAUCCCUAGCUGGUCUGAGAGGAUGACCAGACACACUGGAACUGAGACACGGUCCAGACUCCUACGGGAGGCAGCAGUGGGGAAUAUUGCACAAUGGGCGCAAGCCUGAUGCAGCCAUGCCGCGUGUAUGAAGAAGGCCUUCGGGUUGUAAAGUACUUUCAGCGGGGAGGAAGGGAGUAAAGUUAAUACCUUUGCUCAUUGACGUUACCCGCAGAAGAAGCACCGGCUAACUCCGUG